GAUGAACGCUGGCGGCGUGCCUAACACAUGCAAGUCGAACGGAGAUUCCGGACGGAAGUUUUCGGAUGGAAGCCUGUAAUUCUUAGUGGCGGACGGGUGAGUAACGCGUGGGCAACCUGCCCUAUACAGGGGGAUAGCAGCUGGAAACGGCUGGUAAGACCGCAUAAGUCGGUUAAAUCGCAUGAUUUGAUCGGGAAAUGAGCAAUCAGGUAUAGGAUGGGCCCGCGUCCGAUUAGCCAGUUGGCAGGGUAAAAGCCUACCAAAGCGACGAUCGGUAGCCGGACUGAGAGGUCGGACGGCCACAUUGGGACUGAGACACGGCCCAAACUCCUACGGGAGGCAGCAGUGGGGGAUAUUGCACAAUGGAGGAAACUCUGAUGCAGCGACGCCGCGUGAGUGAAGAAGUAUUUCGGUAUGUAAAGCUCUAUCAGCAGGGAAGAUGAUGACGGUACCUAACUAAGAAGCCCCGGCUAACUACGUG
rnacentral:rRNA from 1 species